rnacentral:rRNA from 1 species
GAUGAACGCUGGCGGCGUGCCUAAUACAUGCAAGUCGAGCGAACAGACGAGGAGCUUGCUCCUCUGACGUUAGCGGCGGACGGGUGAGUAACACGUGGAUAACCUACCUAUAAGACUGGGAUAACUUCGGGAAACCGGAGCUAAUACCGGAUAAUAUAUUGAACCGCAUGGUUCAAUAGUGAAAGACGGUUUUGCUGUCACUUAUAGAUGGAUCCGCGCCGCAUUAGCUAGUUGGUAAGGUAACGGCUUACCAAGGCAACGAUGCGUAGCCGACCUGAGAGGGGGAUCGGCCACACUAGGACUGAGACACGGUCCAGACUCCUACGGGGGGCAGCAGUAGGGAAUAUUCCGCAAUGGGCGGAAGCUUGACGGAGCAACGCCGCGUGAGGGAUGAUGGUCUUCGGAUCGUAAAACUCUGUUAUUAGGGAAGAACAAAUGUGUAAGUAACUAUGCACGUCUUGACGGUACCUAAUCAGAAAGCCACGGCUAACUACGUG